ACGACGCUGGCGGCGUGCCUAAUACAUGCAAGUCGAACGGUCUUUCUAUGGAAGCUUGCUUCCACUGAGAAGAUAGUGGCGAACGGGUGAGUAACACGUGGGUAACCUGCCCAUAAGAGGGGGGAUAACAUCCGGAAACGGGUGCUAAUACCGCAUAGUUUUCUUGAUCGCAUGAUCGGGAAAGGAAAGACGGCCUUUGUGCUGUCGCUUAUGGAUGGACCCGCGGCGUAUUAGUUAGUUGGUGAGGUAACGGCUCACCAAGACGAUGAUACGUAGCCGACCUGAGAGGGUGAUCGGCCACAUUGGGACUGAGACACGGCCCAAACUCCUACGGGAGGCAGCAGUAGGGAAUCUUCCGCAAUGGACGAAAGUCUGACGGAGCAACGCCGCGUGAGUGAAAGAAGGUUUUCGGAUCGUAAAACUCUGUUGUCAGAGAAGAACAAGUUGGAGAGUAACUGCUCCAGCCUUGACGGUAUCUGACCAGAAAGCCACGGCUAACUACGUGCCAGCCGCCGC
rnacentral:rRNA from 1 species